CCUACGGGAGGCAGCAGUGGGGAAUAUUGCACAAUGGGGGAAACCCUGAUGCAGCGACGCCGCGUGAGUGAAGCAGUAUUUCGGUAUGUACAGCUCUAUCAGCAGGGAAGAAAAUGACGGUACCUGAGUAAGAAGCCCCGGCUAACUACGUGCCAGCAGCCGCGGUAAUACGUAGGGGGCAAGCGUUAUCCGGAUUUACUGGGUGUAAAGGGAGCGUAGACGGCAGUACAAGUCUGGAGUGAAAUGCCGGGGCUUAACCCCGGAACUGCUCUGGAAACUGGGCAGCUAGAGUGCAGGAGAGGUAAGUGGAAUUCCUAGUGUAGCGGUGAAAUGCGUAGAUAUUAGGAGGAACACCAGUGGCGAAGGCGGCUUACUGGACUGUAACUGACGUUGAGGCUCGAAAGCGUGGGGAGCAAACAGGAUUAGAUACCCGUGUAGUC
rnacentral:rRNA from 1 species